rnacentral:rRNA from 1 species
CCUACGGGGGGCAGCAAUUAGGAAUCUUGCGCAAUGGGGGGAACCCUGACGCAGCGACGUCGCGUGAAGGAUGAAGGCCUUCGGGUCGUAAACUUCUUUUGAGUGGGAAGAAAUUUGACGGUACCACUCGAAUAAGCCCCGGCUAACUACGUGCCAGCAGCCGCGGUAAUACGUAGGGGGCGAGCGUUGUCCGAAGUUACUGGGCGUAAAGCGCGCGUAGGCGGUUAUUCAAGUCUGGGGUGAAAGGUUCAGCGCUCAACGUGAACAGUGCCUUGGAUAC